GAUGAACGCUGGCGGCGUGCCUAAUACAUGCAAGUCGAGCGGACCAAAGAGAGCUUGCUCUCUGAGGUUAGCGGCGGACGGGUGAGUAACACGUGGGUAACCUGCCUGUAAGACGGGGAUAACUUCGGGAAACCGAAGCUAAUACCGGAUGAUAAAGAGAAAUGCCUGUUUCUUUUUUGAAAGUCGGCCUUGUGCUGACGCUUACAGAUGGGCCCGCGGCGCAUUAGCUAGUUGGUGAGGUAACGGCUCACCAAGGCGACGAUGCGUAGCCGACCUGAGAGGGUGAUCGGCCACACUGGGACUGAGACACGGCCCAGACUCCUACGGGAGGCAGCAGUAGGGAAUCUUCGGCAAUGGACGAAAGUCUGACCGAGCAACGCCGCGUGAGCGAUGAAGGCCUUCGGGUCGUAAAGCUCUGUUGUCAGAGAAGAACAAGUACCGGAGUAACUGCCGGUACCUUGACGGUACCUGACCAGAAAGCCACGGCUAACUACGUGCCAGCAGCCGCCGCGGUAA
rnacentral:rRNA from 1 species